rnacentral:sRNA from 1 species
AUGUGGGAUUCCAGGCUUGGGGCUGAGACUAUGAAACCCUCCUUGCUUGCCUGCACUCGGGGACGAGGGGCAAAAACCGCACCGCGCCAGGCACCGCGGAGGACAACAAUUAGAUGGGGCGGAGGCAAGCUAAGGCUCAUCCUAACCCCAAAAAGCGCUUUUUGUAAGGUAGGAAUUUGUUCCCCCCACAUCUAAUUGUUGUCCUCCGCGGUGCCUGGCGCGGUGCGGUUUUUGCCCCUCGUCCCCGAGUGCAGGCAAGCAAGGAGGGUUUCAUAGUCUCAGCCCCAAGCCUGGAAUCCUACAUCGGUUAGAGAGAGCGCCCCACUACCCUUUAUAAAGCUUCAGGAGCUUGGGUAGUGUACUACUACUCACAUUCCUACCUUACAUAUAUAUAUAUAUAUAUUUAUAUAUAUUCUACAUGAUUCUACAUCUUUAGUAGAACAAGAAUGCAAAAUUUUAAUUAGUAAUUUUGCAUCUAAAAAGAAAAAAAGAAAGAAUAGUGUUUAAGUAAUAUUUAAAUUAAAAAAAAAAAAAAAAGUCAUUUAAAAAAUAGUUUUCAUCUUAGGCCUCCAAAUGCAUUAAGCCACCCUGAUUCCAGUCCCCUCUCCAAUUAUUGGAAAUUGUAACUACCACAUUAUUAAAAAAAAAAAAAAAUGGUGCAUUUAUUUAGUUAGGGGGAAAAAAGUGCAUUUUUGACAGCUUUUUGAAAAAAAAUUCAUUAAUAUUUUGACAGUUUUUUUCAUUUUUCAUAAAAGUGGUAUUAAAACUUUCAUAAACUAAUUAUUAAUCAGUGCCCUAAGGGCACUCAUUAGCAAUUCUCUUUAUAAAAUGAUCGGUAGUUAGGGCCUAUUCGAUUUUCAUCGUUUAAUGGAUAUGGAUCUAUUCCUGAUAGUAUUGGAGAUCUUUCUAAACUCACCCAUCUUGACUUCUCUCACAAUAAUCUUGCUGGUGCAUUUCCUCCUAGCAUUUUUAACCUUUCCAAACUUCAGUUUUCGAUUUGAGUGGAAAUCAGAUAUCGGGAAGAAUUUCCCCCGAGAUAGGCCAAAUGAUAAGUCUUCAAUAUUUAAUGGUUUCCGAUAAUUUACUCAAUAAUUCCCUCCCUCAAGAAAUAGGAGCAUUGAGAGAUCUAAUAUAUCUUGCUUUAAACGGAAAUAGUCUCAUAGGCCCCAUCCCAGCUUCUAUGAGAAGCUUGAGCAAUUUAUCAGUUCUUUACCUUUAUGACAAGUGACAACGAGCUUUCGGGACCUAUUCCUCUAGAAAUUGGAAAGUUGGGCAACUUAACCAUACUAUUCCUAUUAAACAACAAAUUUUCUGGUUCCGUACCCCGUGAAGUUGGAAUGAUGAGAUCUCUCACUCAACUUGAUUUGUCAUCUAAUUUUCUCAUUGGUCCUAUUCCCUCUUCCAUUGGAAACUUGAGCGAGUUACAACAACUUACCUUUAUUCCAACAAUAUCUCUGGUUCCAUUCCUGAGGAAAUAGGAUUGCUUAAACAUAUGUGGGUCCUUCAAUUACUAAAUAAUAGUCUCACUGGUCCAAUUCCAACCACGAUUGGAAAUUUGACCAGGCUUACCAGUUUAGAUUUGUCCCAAAAUGAACUAAGUGGUUCAAUUCCUGCUUCCAUAGGACAACUAGCUGCCUUGUCUAUACUUUUACUUAAUGACAACAAACUUUCUGGAUCGAUUCCAACCACUAUUGGAAACGUGACCAAGCUUACCUCUUUAACUCUGCACUUGAACGAACUUUCUGGAUCAAUUCCAACCACUAUUGGAAACAUGAUCAAGCUUACCGGUUUAGCUCUUGCCCUCGACCGAACUUUCUGGAUCAAUUCCAACCACUAUUGGAAACAUGACCAAGCUUACCUAUUUAUCUUUUCGUAUUAAUAAACUAAGUGGUUCAAUUCCGCUGGAGAUGAGUAAUCUGACAAGUUUGACAAAUUUGCAACUUGGAAACAACAAUUUCAUAGGCCAGUUACCCCCACAAAUAUGCCAAUCUAGAUCACUUGUUAACUUUUCUGUCCAGGACAACCACUUUACAGGUCCUAUCCCAAGAACCUUGAAAAACUGCACUAGCCUCAAUCGAGUUAGGCUAGAAGGAAACCAACUGACAGGAAAUAUAUCUGAAGCUUUCGACAUCUGCCCGAACUUGACUUAUAUUGAUUUGAGUAGUAAUAAUCUGUAUGGUGAAUUUUCUUGGAAGCGGGGGAAGUGUCACAAUUUGAGAAGCCUAAAAAUCUCCAACAACAAGAUUUCUGGCAAGAUACCACUUGAACUUGGCGAGGCAAACAUGCUAGGUGUCCUUGACCUCUCUUCAAAUCAUCUAAUUGGGAAGAUUCCAAAGGAAUUGGGGCGCUUGAAGUCAUUGAUCGAAAUUCAUUUGAAUGAUAACCAACUUUCAGGUACCAUUCCUUUAGAAAUUAGAUGGCUAUUUGAUCUAACACAUUUUAACGUGGCAGUAAAUAAUCUCAGCAGCUCAAUCCCCAAAGAACUUGGAGAGUGCUAAAGAUUAUUGUUCCUAAAUUUGAGUAGAAAUAUACUCAAUGGAAGUAUUCCUUCUACUAUAGGAAGCAUGCAGUCUCUUAAAAGUCUUGAUGUUAGUCAAAAUUUGCUGGUAGGAGAGAUACCACAACAGCUUGGAGGCAUGAAAAUGUUGGAAACAUUAAACCUCUCUCACAAUAAUGUCUCUGGUUCCAUCCCAUCCUCGUUCGGUGACGGUGCAAGCUUGACAUCCAUUGAUAUAUCCUAUAAUGAGUUAGAGGGUCCUAUUCCUAACAUCACGGCCUUCCGCAAGGCUCCAAUCGCAGCACUAAAAAAUAACAAAGGCUUGUGUGGUAAUGUUGCUGGUUUGAAGGCUUGCCCAAAAAUGAUUCCUGAUACUCCAUCUAAGAGACACAACCGAUUUUUGGUAAUAAUUUUAAUCUCUCUUUGGGGCACGCUGUUUUUUAUAUUUGUCAUUGUAGGAGUUUCACUUCUUCUUUACCAAAGAGUGAAGAAAACAGAAGAUAAGCCAAGAGAAGUGCGUAACGAUAAUCUUUUUGCAAUAUGUGAGUUAUGAUGGAAAAAUGGUGUAUGAAAACAUCAUUGAAGCUACGAAGGAAUUCGAUUCCAAAUAUUGCAUUGGAGUGGGAGGAUAUGGAAGUGUUUACAAAGCUGAGUUGCAAACAAGCCAAGUUGUUGCUGUGAAGAAACUUCACCCACUACUUGAUGGCAAGAUAUCCAAUCAAAAAGCCUUCACGAGCGAGAUUCAUGCCUUAAUAGAAAUAAGACAUCAUAACAUUGUAAAGUUGUUCGGUUUUUGUUCACAUCCGAAACACUCUCUUUUGGUUUAUGAGUUUUUGAAAGGAGGAAGCUUGGUGAAGUUAUUAAACAGUGAGGAGGGAGCAAAAACAUUUGAUUGGAUUAAGAGAGUCGAUGUGGUAAAAGGUGUAGUGAAUGCAUUAUCUUAUAUGCACCAUGAUUGCUCACCUCCUAUAAUUCAUCCUGAUAUAUCAAGUAAGAAUGUUCUAUUGGAUCCAGAAUAUGAGGCUCACAUCUCUAACCUUGGUACUGCUAGGCUUUUGAAACCUGAUUCAUCCAACUAGAUGUCACUUGCAGGCACCUAUGGAUACAUGGCUCCAGGUUAGUUUUUUUGUUGUUGUCUAUAGUGUAAAAGGUUUUCCAAGCUUAUGUAGGGACCAUCCAAUAUCAUAGCAUAAAAAUAUUUCCAAGCUUAAGUUAGAAGAACAUCUGUCAUGGCCGACAUGGACACCAAACAACCAAUUUCCAUAGUUAUUACAACAUAUUUUAGAAUAAAAAUUUAAUUAUUUUUAUUUUAGCUAACAACUUUUCAAAACACCCAUAGCUAAUUAUCUAUUCUAUAUUAUAUUUUAUUAAAAUAUUAAUUUUCUUAAUUUUUUUUGUAAUUUUCUCUCUCCACUCACAAUAAUUACCAACCAAUAAUUGAAUAAAAUAAUAAAAUGCACAAGAAACAAUUCCUCCUAAAUUUGGACAAGCACUAUAGCAAUAUCUUAUUUUGUCACACGGGUUCAUAACCUGAUAAGGGUGUUUUUUAAGUUUUAUUGGCUAAAUUUUAGCUAGGCCUUUUGCUAUUUUAACAAAUUUAAGGCAACUACUCUAGGAUUUUUAGCUAUUUUCCUAUUAUUACAUAAUAAAGUUCAUACUCAGGUGUAUGUACUUAUAGAGUAAGCAAUUUAACUUUGUUAAUUAUUAUUUAUACCAUGAUUGGGCCCAUAGUAGAAAUAAAUUCAUAUAGAAGAAAAUGUAGCCACUUGCAAGGUUAUUUUGUUCUGUAUGUAAACCUUUAAAUAAUUCUAACAUAUGCUCAGUUGUCACAUAAUACAAAUUUUGCUACAUUUUUUACGACAUAAUAGACAAGUUAUCAAGUUGCAGACUAACCACCUGUUAUGUUUCGUUCUAAAAAUGACUAAAAAGUGCAAAGUCUUUUUUUUUUUUUUUAAUCUCUCCAGGUGAAGUCAGUUUCUAAGUUGAUUGUAGUAAAUGCAGUAUUAUAUCAUAUGUAACAUGCAUGUAGUAUAGUAUACCUUUGAUUCUAUUGAUGAUAAAAUUAAACAAGAAACUAGCACGUCCCCCCUUGUUUCACCCAAUUCAUAAAGCUAAAGGUUUUGUUCAAUGCAAAAGUUCUGUGAAUGGAUCCAAGUUCCAAACAUAUGAUAUCAAUAAAAUUGAUAUAUUUUACAAUUUUCUUAUGCAUGGGCCCAAUUCAAGUAGUGUUUAGAUUUUAUUGCUAAUAAUGGUGUUGCUAUAACCUUGAUCAAUUCUUUUCCCAUGCAGAGCUUGCCUACACAAUGGAAAAUAAUGAGAAGUGUGAUAUUUUUAGUUUUGGAGUGUUGGCUUUAGAAAUAAUCAUGGGAAAGCAUCUUGGAGAUCUGAUCUCGUCUCUCUCAUCAUCAACAUUUACAACCUAUGAUAUGCUAUUGAAGGAUGUGUUGGACCAACGCCUUUCACUUUCUAUAAAUCGAGUUGCUAUGGAAGUGCUCUCCAUUGCAAAGAUUGCAAUUGCUUGCUUGCACACUAUUCCCCAAUCUCGCCCAACAAUGCAACAAGUUUCUCAAGAGCUUUCAACUCAAAAACCACAUUUUCCAAAUACAUUAUUCACGAUCACAUUAGGAGAAGUAGUUGAUCUCAGAGGCUCAACUGUCUAA